AAGUGUUAUCUUGCCUCAAGUGUUAUCUCUUAGUGUUAUCUCUUACAUUACUUACGAUACAAUCAGCCGUGGUAGCAUGCAUAGAAUUUUUCUUUAGGUGGAGUCACCCAAAGGGUUAACAUUAUAUUAUUAAAUGCCACCCUCCCAUACUUCUUGCGGAGCCAAGGGACACAGAUAUUCGAGAGACUAACCGUAGCCGCAGAAGGUGGAGAGCUAACAUAAUGGGUCUGACUGAUAGAGAGGGGUAAUUAUGCUGGCCAUCUGCACCCGUUCUCUGCGGGAAUACUCAAUGUGUUGUUUUAGAGCUGAAAGCCCAAGAAAAGGCGAUUCAUAUUUAUAUGUAAAAAAUUGCCACCGUUCCCAAAUUGCCUUAACCUUUUUCCUGAUCAUGGAGACAAAGAAAAAAAAAACAAAAAAGAAAAUAUGUUAUCUUGCAAAGGAAGCAACCCUGUUUUUUUAAGGUUAUAACAUCAAUACGUAUUAUAUAUAUAUGUCAAUUUUAUUAUUAUUAUUAUAAUUAUUAUUAUUUGUAGCAUCAGUACAGAAACAAUCCUAUGAAGGCGAAUAACAAACAUAUGCAUAUUAUUAUUUUUUUAACAUUAACAAUACUUUUAUAUUUUUUAUACAUUUAUUUUUUUUCUUAUUUAUUUCAAUAACAUAUUUGAAUAACUAUAUAGUACAUUUUGAACUACGAAGUAAGCGUUCUUGUAUUUAUUGAAAAACAUACACUUUAUGAUCUAUAGGGUACUUUAGUUUGGGAUACAUAAGACCAGCCACAGGAGAGUUAAACGCACGGUGCCGUGCUCUGUGAAAACUGGCAGGAUAAGACGCCUAUAACCCAGUAAUGAAGUGUAUCCAGGCGUGUAGGGUAUAAUCCUCCCAUGGGGAACUCUUGUGGUUUCUCCAUGUAGUUUAGGCCGACUGUGGGAAGCUAUAAAUAUUGUGAAGCCAAAAGCACAUGGGGAUGAUGAAUAUUUAUAGCGUUGGACUCCCGCAGCAGUCAUGCAAGCAAUAAUUCCAUAAUAAAA